rnacentral:rRNA from 1 species
UGGGGAAUAUUGGACAAUGGGCGAAAGCCUGAUCCAGCCAUGCCGCGUGUGUGAAGAAGGUCUUCGGAUUGUAAAGCACUUUAAGUUGGGAGGAAGGGCAGUAAGCGAAUACCUUGCUGUUUUGACGUUACCGACAGAAUAAGCACCGGCUAACUCUGUGCCAGCAGCCGCGGUAAUACAGAGGGUGCAAGCGUUAAUCGGAAUUACUGGGCGUAAAGCGCGCGUAGGUGGUUCGUUAAGUUGAAUGUGAAAGCCCCGGGCUCAACCUGGGAACUGCAUCCAAAACUGGCGAGCUAGAGUAGGGCAGAGGGUGGUGGAAUUUCCUGUGUAGCGGUGAAAUGCGUAGAUAUAGGAAGGAACACCAGUGGCGAAGGCGAGCACCUGGGCUCAUACUGACACUGAGGUGCGAAAGCGUGGGGAGCAAACAGG